CCGAAAAAGACAUGUACCAACUAAGAACGAGAAAAUAAGUGGCGCAACGCGCGAACUACUAUACAUAUACCUAUCGUCACGUGCUUCCCAAGAGACACAGUGUAAGGAGUGUAACACAUAUAUUUUUGUUUGCCGAUUUUAUACCGAGUUGAAAUGAUUAAUGAUCGCAGUGUUAAAAGUACACUGUGACUGUGUCUAUCGCUGGAAGACAUCAUUUAUGUGUUGAACAAUCAGAAACAAUGGACGAAUGAAUCGCCGAACCGAACAGUUUGCAAUUAUAUCUGUUGUUAAACAAAGAGCUCAAGUAUAUCGAUGAAAUUCGGAGAACUGACUCAAUCAGGCUCAACUAGUGCUUCUCCUUUCGAUUACAGUUUACCAUAUUUUCAUUCAAUUCAAUUUCCAAGAGAGUGUGAGUGCAUCAUGUCCAUCUGGUGCAUCUUGGCCCUUAGCUGAUUCCAUAAUUAUCGAUAUGCAUCGAUUCACAUAUAGAAAUAUAUGUUCUUGAUAUUAUGAAUAAACGUAUCUUGAAAGCA